GCGGGCGUGGUGGAAGUGGUAGACGCAACGGACUUAAAAUCCGUCGAGCUUAGCUCAUGCCGGUUCAAGUCCGGCCGCCCGCA
rnacentral:tRNA from 1 species